rnacentral:rRNA from 1 species
CCUGGUAGUCCACGCUGUAAACGAUGAAUACUAGGUGUGGGAGGACUGACCCCUUCCGUGCCGCAGUUAACACAAUAAGUAUUCCACCUGGGGAGUACGACCGCAAGGUUGAAACUCAAAGGAAUUGACGGGGGCCCGCACAAGCAGUGGAUUAUGUGGUUUAAUUCGACGCAACGCGAAGAACCUUACCAGGGUUUGACAUCCAACUAACGAAGCAGAGAUGCAUUAGGUGCCCUUCGGGGAAAGUUGAGACAGGUGGUGCAUGGUUGUCGUCAGCUCGUGUCGUGAGAUGUUGGGUUAAGUCCCGCAACGAGCGCAACCCCUAUUGUUAGUUGCUACGCAAGAGCACUCUAGCGAGACUGCCGUUGACAAAACGGAGGAAGGCGGGGACGACGUCAAAUCAUCAUGCCCCUUAUAUCCUGGGCUACACACGUAAUACAAUGGCCGUCAACAAAGGGAAGCAAAGCCGCGAGGUGGAGCAAAUCCCCAAAAACGGUCUCAGUUCGGAUUGCAGGCUGCAACUCGCCUGCAUGAAGCUGGAAUUGCUAGUAAUCGUAGAUCAGCAAGCCACGGGAAA